rnacentral:rRNA from 1 species
CAGCAGCCGCCGCGGUAAAACGAAGGGGGCUAGCGUUGUUCGGAUUUACUGGGCGUAAAGCGCACGUAGGCGGACUUUUAAGUCAGGGGUGAAAUCCCGGGGCUCAACCCCGGAACUGCCUUUGAUACUGGAAGUCUUGAGUAUGGUAGAGGUGAGUGGAAUUCCGAGUGUAGAGGUGAAAUUCGUAGAUAUUCGGAGGAACACCAGUGGCGAAGGCGGCUCACUGGACCAUUACUGACGCUGAGGUGCGAAAGCGUGGGGAGCAAACAGGAUUAGAUACCCCUGUAGUCCCUGUCUCUUAUAC